rnacentral:rRNA from 1 species
CAAGGAAUUUUCCGCAAUGGGCGCAAGCCUGACGGAGCAACGCCGCGUGGGGGAAGAAGGCUCUCGGGUUGUAAACCCCUUUUGCGAGGGAAGAAGAUCUGACGGUACCUCGCGAAUAAGCCACGGCUAACUACGUGCCAGCAGCCGCGGUAAUACGUAGGUGGCAAGCGUUGUCCGGAUUUACUGGGCGUAAAGCGCGCGCAGGCGGACUGGUCAGUCCGAGGUGAAAGCUCCCGGCUCAACCGGGAGAGGUCCUUGGAUACUGCCAGUCUUGAGGCAUCUAGAGGGGAGUGGAAUUCCCGGUGUAGUGGUGGAAUGCGUAGAUAUCGGGAGGAACACCAGUGGCGAAAGCGACUCUCUGGGGAUGUCCUGACGCUGAGGCGCGAAAGCGUGGGGAGCAAACC